rnacentral:rRNA from 1 species
GACGAACGCUGGCGGCGCGCCUAACACAUGCAAGUCGAACGAGCGAGAGAGAGCUUGCUUUCUCGAGCGAGUGGCGAACGGGUGAGUAACGCGUGAGGAACCUGCCUCAAAGAGGGGGACAACAGUUGGAAACGACUGCUAAUACCGCAUAAGCCCACGACCCGGCAUCGGGUAGAGGGAAAAGGGGCACUCCGCUUUGAGAUGGCCUCGCGUCCGAUUAGCUAGUUGGUGAGGUAACGGCCCACCACGGCGACGAUCGGUAGCCGGACUGGGAGGUGGAACGGCCACAUUGGGACUGAGACACGGCCCAGACUCCUACGGGGAGCAGCAGUGGGGAAUAUUGCACGAUGGGGGAAACCCUGAUGCAGCGACGCCGCGUGGAGGAAGAAGGUGUUCGGAUUGUAAACUCCUGUUGUUGAGGAAGAUAAUGACGGUACUCAACAAGGAAGUGACGGCUAACUACGUG